AUACGUAGGGGGCGAGCGUUGUCCGGAAUUACUGGGCGUAAAGGGUGCGUAGGCGGUUGCCUAAGUCAGAUGUGAAAUCCCCGGGCUUAACUCGGGUGGUGCAUUUGAAACUGGGUGACUAGAGUGCAGGAGAGGGAAGCGGAAUUCCUAGUGUAGCGGUGAAAUGCGUAGAUAUUAGGAGGAACACCAGUGGCGAAGGCGGCUUUCUGGACUGUAACUGACGCUGAGGCACGAAAGCGUGGGGAGC
rnacentral:rRNA from 1 species